AAUUUAUCUGGAAUUUCCUAGAAUUUUCUAGAAAUUUCUGAAUUUUCUAGAAAUUUCUGAAUUUUCUAGAAAUUCUCUGAAUUUUGCUAAAAAGAUUCUGAAUUUUUCUGAAAAAAUUUCAGAAGUUUUCUAACAAUUUUUGAGCCUUCCUAAAAUUUUCUGAUUUUUUCUGAAACUUAUAUAAAUUUUCUGGAAUUUUCUGGAAUUUUCUGGAAUUU
ensembl:ncRNA Y43F8B.27 ncRNA